AAACUAACAAGGAUUCCCCUAGUAGCGGCGAGCGAAGCGGGAAGAGCUCAAAUUUAUAAUCUGGCACCUUCGGUGUCCGAGUUGUAAUCUCUAGAAGUGUUUUCCGCGUUGGACCGCACACAAGUCUGUUGGAAUACAGCGGCAUAGUGGUGAUACCCCAUUACACGGUGCGGACGCCCAGCGCUUUGUGAUACACUUUCGACGAGUCGAGUUGUUUGGGAAUGCAGCUCAAAUUGGGUGGUAAAUUCCAUCUAAAGCUAAAUAUUGGCGAGAGACCGAUAGCGAACAAGUACCGUGAGGGAAAGAUGAAAAGCACUUUGGAAAGAGAGUUAAAAGUACGUGAAAUUGUUGGAAGGGAAACGCUUGAAGUCAGACUUGCUUGCCGGGCUUGCUCGGUUUGCAGGCCAGCAUCAGUUUUCCGGGGCGGAUAAUGGCAGUUAGAAUGUAGCAGUCUCGGCUGUGUUAUAGCUUUCUGCUGGAUACGUCCUGGGGGACUGAGGAACGCAGCGUGCCGUAUGGCGAGGGCUUCGGUCCUUUCACGCUUAGGAUGCUGGUGGAAUGGCUUUAAACGAC
rnacentral:rRNA from 1 species